rnacentral:rRNA from 1 species
AUUGAACGCUAGCGGGAUGCUUUACACAUGCAAGUCGAACGAGAGGAGGACGGGUGAGUAAGAUAUCGGAACGUGACCAGUAGCGGGGGAUAAAUACUAGAAAGAGUGGCUAAUACCGCAUACUAUAGGAGCGGCCGAUAUCGGUUUAGCUAGUUGGUGGGGUAAAGGCUGACCAAGGCCACGAUCCGUAGCUGGUUUGAGAGGACGACCAGCCACACUGGGACUGAGACACGGCCCAGACUCCUACGUGAGGCAGCAGUGGGGAAUUUUGGACAAUGGGUGAAACCCUGAUCCAGCCAUCCCGCGUGUAUGAGAAGGCCUUCGGGUUGUAAAGUACUUUUGGCUGAGAAGCGGUAUCUGCAGAAUAAGCACCGGCUAACUACGUGCCAGCAGCCGCGGUAAUUC